CUUUAUGUAGUAGGAGGAAUCAGGUGUGUUGUCUUUAUGAAGUAGGAGGAAUCAGGUGUGUUGUCUUUAUGUAGUAGGAGGAAUCAGGUGUGUUGUCUUUAUGAAGUAGGAGGAAUCAGGUGUGUUGUCUUUAUGUAGUAGGAGGAAUCAGGUGUGUUGUCUUUAUGUAGUAGGAGGAAUCAGGUGUGUUGUCUUUAUGAAGUAGGAAGAAUCAGGUGUGUUGUCUUUAUGAAGUAGGAAGAAUCAGGUGUGUUGUCUUUAUGAAGUAGGAGGAAUCAGGUGUGUUGUCUUUAUGAAGUAGGAAGAAUCAGGUGUGUUGUCUUUAUGAAGUAGGAGGAAUCAGGUGUGUUGUCUUUAUGAAGUAGGAAGAAUCAGGUGUGUUGUCUUUAUGAAGUAGGAGGAAUCAGGUGUGUUGUCUUUAUGAAGUAGGAGGAAUCAGGUGUGUUGUCUUUAUGAAGUAGAAUGAAUCAGGUGUGUUGUCUUUAUGAAGUAGGAAGAAUCAGGUGUGUUGUCUUUAUGAAGUAGGAGGAAUCAGGUGUGUUGUCUUUAGGAAGUAGGAGGAAUCAGGUGUGUUGUCUUUAUGAAGUAGGAGGAAUCAGGUGUGUUGUCUUUAUGAAGUAGGAGGAAUCAGGUGUGUUGUCUUUAUGAUUUCAAAUCAAACACAUUUUUAUUGGUCACAUAUUUAGCCGAUGUUAUUGCGGGUGUAGCGAAA